rnacentral:rRNA from 1 species
AACGUAGGACGCAAGCGUUAUCCGGAGUUACUGGGCGUAAAGCGCGGGCAGGCGGUCGGUCAAGUCUGAUGUGAAAUCUCUCCGCUCAACGGGGAGCAGCCAUUGGAAACUGGUCGACUGGAGUCUGGCAGAGGUAGGCGGAAUUCCGGGUGGAGUGGUGAAAUGCGUAGAGAUCCGGAGGAACACCAGAGGCGAAGGCGGCCUACUGGGCCAGUACUGACGCUGAGCCGCGAAAGCCAGGGGAGCGAACAGG